CGUAUCCUACGGGAGGCAGCAGUAGGGAAUAUUGCUCAAUGGGGGAAACCCUGAAGCAGCAACGCCGCGUGGAGGAUGAAGGUUUUCGGAUUGUAAACUCCUUUUGUUAGAGAAGAUAAUGACGGUAUCUAACGAAUAAGCACCGGCUAACUCCGUGCCAGCAGCCGCGGUAAUACGGAGGGUGCAAGCGUUACUUGGAAUCACUGGGCGUAAAGAGUGCGUAGGCGGGGUAAUAAGUCAGAUGUGACAUCCUGUAGCUUAACUACAGAACUGCAUUUGAAACUGUUACUCUGGAGUGUGGGAGG
rnacentral:rRNA from 1 species